rnacentral:RNase_P_RNA from 1 species
GGGUGAAAUCGUGAGGUAAGAGCUCACGGGGCUUCGCGGAGACGCGAGCCCGGGUAAACCCCACCUGAAGCAAGAUUGCGGGAUUGCCUCGUUCGCGGGGCCGGGCGGCCCGCCCGACGCCGGCAAUCGCACCGAGGUACGCGGUGACGCGUGCCCCAGAUAGAUGAUCGUCACCCGCAAGGGGACAGAAUCCGGCUUACAGGCGUACUCCGCAA